rnacentral:rRNA from 1 species
CUGGCGGCGUGCCUAAUACAUGCAGGUCGAACGCUUCUUUUUCCACCGGAGCUUGCUCCACCGGAAAAAGAGGAGUGGCGAACGGGUGAGUAACACGUGGGUAACCUGCCCAUCAGAAGGGGAUAACACUUGGAAACAGGUGCUAAUACCGUAUAACAAUCGAAACCGCAUGGCUUUGAUUUGAAAGGCGCUUUCGGGUGUCGCUGAUGGAUGGACCCGCGGUGCAUUAGCUAGUUGGUGAGGUAACGGCUCACCAAGGCGACGAUGCAUAGCCGACCUGAGAGGGUGAUCGGCCACAUUGGGACUGAGACACGGCCCAAACUCCUACGGGAGGCAGCAGUAGGGAAUCUUCGGCAAUGGACGAAAGUCUGACCGAGCAACGCCGCGUGAGUGAAGAAGGUUUUCGGAUCGUAAAACUCUGUUGUUAGAGAAGAACAAGGAUGAGAGUAACUGUUCAUCCCUUGACGGUAUCUAACCAGAAAGCCACGGCUAACUACGUGCCAGCAGCCGCGGUAAUACGUAGGUGGCAAGCGUUGUCCGGAUUUAUUGGGCGUAAAGCGAGCGCAGGCGGUUUCUUAAGUCUGAUGUGAAAGCCCCCGGCUCAACCGGGGAGGGUCAUUGGAAACUGGGAGACUUGAGUGCAGAAGAGGAGAGUGGAAUUCCAUGUGUAGCGGUGAAAUGCGUAGAUAU